rnacentral:lncRNA from 1 species
UAUAUAGUAAAUGGGAGGAUUUUAAGAAGAAGAUAAAAUCAUUUUAUACAACAAAUAUAAAUGAUAAAUUCUGCAAAUUAUUAUUUUCAUCUUUAAAUGACAAAUCUGAAACAAAUGUUGAAGAUUAUAUCUUGGCCACAUUAUUAAACUUAAUUAUUCUACCAACUAGUCGGUUUCCAGUAGAAGUUUAGUUUCCAGUAGAUAGUUUUUGUUUUUUAGUUUACAGUUCAAUGUUGUUUUGAUUAUUUUUAUACUGAUGUUAUAAUAGGUUUACGUCUUUGUAUAUGCAAAAUUAUUAAAAUAUAUAUUUUUGUUAUAAAUUU